rnacentral:rRNA from 1 species
AUUGAACGCUGGCGGCAUGCUUUACACAUGCAAGUCGAACGGUAACAGGCCGCAAGGUGCUGACGAGUGGCGAACGGGUGAGUAAUGCAUCGGGACGUGCCCAGUCGUGGGGGAUAACUGCUCGAAAGAGCAGCUAAUACCGCAUACGAUCUAUGGAUGAAAGCGGGGGACCGUAAGGCCUCGCGCGAUUGGAGCGGCCGAUGUCAGAUAAGGUAGUUGGUGGGGUAAAGGCUCACCAAGCCAACGAUCUGUAGCUGGUCUGAGAGGACGACCAGCCACACUGGGACUGAGACACGGCCCAGACUCCUACGGGAGGCAGCAGUGGGGAAUUUUGGACAAUGGGGGCAACCCUGAUCCAGCAAUGCCGCGUGCAGGAAGAAGGCCUUCGGGUUGUAAACUGCUUUUGUACGGAACGAAACGGUCUGGGUUAAUACCCUGGGCUAAUGACGGUACCGUAAGAAUAAGCACCGGCUAACUACGUGCCAGCAGCCGCGGUAACAC